rnacentral:lncRNA from 1 species
AUGUUUUAAAAGAAAAAUUGUGUGUACAUACUGAAUUGAAAUCUUUUUUUUUCUUAAUGGCGGUCAGCUUUUAUGGGUGGAGUAAGACGGAGUGCCCGGAGAAAACCAUCGACCUUCGAUAGGAAAACUGACCUUGUUAAUUAAGACUGGAGUCGAGUGCACUCACACCAUGGAAGUACUGAUUGGUUAAUCGAAUUUUAGCAAAUCUACAUGGACGAAUUGAAUCCAUUCGGUACAUAAAUUGAGACCCGUGCCAUAUUGGCAAUGACAUAUGUUACAUAGUUACGAACACAAUUAUCGGUAUUAAGAAGCCUUACUUUAAAUGGAACAUUUGUUAGUUUAUCCCCAAUUAAAUAACAACAUAUGGAGUUAUUGUAUGCACAUUGUUGGCCUUCGGCUGUUGUCUGCUCUAUGGUCGGGUUGAUGUCGCUUUGACACAUUCCCCAUUUCCUUUCUAAAUUUUACAGUCUAUAUUAAAGCUUAUAUUCCUUUUUUAAUCAAUCGUUAGCUUUGUCUUAAAAACUGAAUUAAAUUUCCACAGUGGAGAAAUAAUGUCAGAGUUUGUUUAUUCGGC